CUUGAAUACAUUAGCAUGGAUAAUGAAUAGGACGUUCGAUCCUAUUUGUUGGUUUCUAGGAUUGACGUAAUGAUUAAUAGGGAUAGUUGGGGGCAUUAGUAUUCAAUUGUCAGAGGUGAAAUUCUUGGAUUUAUUGAAGACUAACUACUGCGAAAGCAUUUUGCCAAGGAUGUUUUCAUUAAUCAAGAACGAAAGUUAGGGGAUCGAAGACGAUCAGAUACCGUCGUAGUCUUAACCAUAAACUAUGCCGACUAGGGAUCGGAUGAUGUUAAUUUUUUAAUGACUCAUUCGGCGCCUUACGG
rnacentral:rRNA from 1 species